rnacentral:rRNA from 1 species
ACGCUCGACACCUACGGGCAGCAGUGGGGAAUAUUGGGCAAUGGAGGCAACUCUGACCCAGCAACGCCGCGUGAAUGAUGAAGGUCUUCGGAUUGUAAAGUUCUGUGACGGGGGACGAACACAAUGACGGUACCCCGAUAGCAAGCCACGGCUAACUACGUGCCAGCACGCCGACGGUAAUCUGAGGCGGGCGUGGACGAAGGC